CAGAAUAUAAGAGAAGUUGUGGGAGUAGAAGUUUGCAAGAUUGACUGAACAUUAGCUGUAAAUGACCUUACCAGAAUUUAUUACUUAUAUAACCAGAGAACUCUCUGAAAUAGCUGUGGGAUAUGUAUGGAAUAAAUGUACAUAAUGUAACAUAGGAUUACUAGACUAGGAUAUGUGCCAAAGUCUUAUUUAGCACCAAAUCCUGUUGGAAGAGGGGAGAAGCGGGGAACAUGGGUCAAUGGUUUGGAAUUCUAACACAGGACCCCCAAGCCAGGCACCAGCACAUGUCGUCCUGGCUCCUGAAGAGCUGGCUGGAGUCUGGAGGAUCGGGGGCAUGGAUGCUCGAGGCCGGCCUGGGCAAGAUAGCAAAACUCUUUCUCAAAAGCAAAACAAGCAAUAAAAACAAAAGAUGCCCCAAACAAAAUGGCAAUUCUUAAAAAAUAGGUGACAGUAUAUA